UACAGGGGGUGCAAACGUUGCUCGGAAUCAUUGGGCGUAAAGCGCACGUAGGCGGUUCGUUAUGUCGGAUGUGAAAGCCCUUGGCUUAACCGAGGAAGUGCAUCCGAAACUGGCGAGCUAGAGUACGAAAGAGGAUCGCGGAAUUCCCGGUGUAGAGGUGAAAUUCGUAGAUAUCGGGAGGAACACCAGUGGCGAAAGCGGCGCACUGGACCACAACUGACGCUGAGGCGCGAAAGCUAGGGGAGCAAACAGG
rnacentral:rRNA from 1 species